CUCUCUGCAGUGGGUCGAGUCCCCCCCUCCCUGACCGUGCUGGCGCCCUCUAGUGAGGAGCUGCAGCAGGGGAAGGCUACAGUCAUGUGUGUGGCCAACAAGGGCUUCCCCUCAGACUGGAGGCUGUCCUGGAAGGUGGAUGGAAGAAGCAGCAGUGGAGAGGAGAGCAGGAGCCCCGGGGCGCUGCAGAAUGACGGCCACUACAGCUGGAGCAGCACCCUGAGGCUCCCUGCAGACAAGUGGGAGAAGGUGGGCUCUGUGACCUGUGAGGCCACCCAGGGCUCCCACACUCCACUCUCAGAGACUCUGAUGACAGACCAGUGUCCCCAGUCCUGAGCUGACUCACUGGGACUCUGAUACUGGCUUUAGUCUGCAGCUUCUCUCAGUCUGCUCCCUCUGUGUCUGUAUUGCUUUGAUAGUUUUCAUGUUUUCAUGCUUGUGGCACUGUUGAUGGUUUUAAUACUUCAAAUAAAAACUGAGGUCUUCAAAUA